GUGAGCCCAAAAUACAAUUACAUGUAUCCUUGUAAGAGAGACGACAAAGGAGUGUCAACAAGCUCACACAGGGGAGAAGGCCAUGUAAAAUGAUUAAAGUGAUGCAGCUAUAAGCCAAGGAACACCUGGAGCCACUAGAACUGCAGUAAGUCUGAGCACUGCUUGACUGGACCUUGAGGCUGGCUCCCUGGAUUCUGUGGCUUCAGUCUGGGCAGCCUCCAGUCCCACUGGAUGAUUUCUGGCCCCUGGAUACUUCAAGCUCAUUCUCAUCACAGGGCUUCCUCACCUGGAAUCAUUUCCCUGGAUUUCACGUGGCUGUCUCAUCUCUUUCUCAUCACUCAGGUUUCUCCUCCUCAGAGAAGCUUUCCCUGACCACUCUAGCUAAAGUAGCAACACACAGGCUCCACCUGUUCCAUUACCUGAGCAAACAACAGCAAGCAGCAACCCAUGCUGCCAACUCACUCUCUGAGGUUUUUUCAAUAAAAGUUACACUGAGUGUGCUGC
rnacentral:lncRNA from 10 species